ensembl:lncRNA
CACUGCAGUCAGAUCAGGACCGCCAUCACUGCAACUCUUUGUCCCGAUGCUUCAGCAUUCCAUGAAUGCCCACAUGCUCUAGAUGCCUACCUCUUCCUUGUUUUCACAAUUAUGUAUCUGUUUACUUUCAAAAGAGGCUUUUCUUGCUCUAUGUCUUGUUCCUUGUGUCCCACGCUCUAGUGGAAACCAGGCCAGAACCUGCAAUGUACCUUUGUGGGGUGGGCGGGGGGACUGGGCGUUGUAGACAAAACGUUCCUCUACCUCCAUGUUACAAUAUGCAUGUUACAAAUAAAAGAUUCCUGUGCUUUGAAAGACCAACCUCUGAGCACUUUUUUUCUUGAGUAGUCAGUUUGUUUGAAAAUAACUUCAAUUUCCGUUAUGAGAAAACCUUACAAUGCAUCGGCCAGAACUCUGUGAUAACACUCUCAGAAGUAUUAGAAACUUUACCCACAGUGAAACCACAUCCUGGGUUCAUAUAAUCUCCUGACAGAAACAGUGAUGCAGUGGAGGUCAGUGAGGUGGACUAGGUUUAAGUUUAAGUCUAGGUUGACUCACCCUACUUACUGCAGCAAUCAUGUCUUGUCCACUCAGUGGCUCAAAGAUCUUUAUCACCGGAUGACGGUGAUUAGCUCAGCACCAAAGCACAGAGGUAACAUGACCUUGUGUCAACCCUGUACCUUGCUCUUGAACAAAGACACACACAUAGUUGCACAGAGGAUAAUAGAUAUGAUAUCAGAAAUGAUCUACACUGUUUUUAUUAUCAGGUCAUUUGUACUAGGAGUCUGUAUUUGUCUUAUUAUUUUACUUCUUCUGCACUGUAUGUAUGUAUGUAUGUAUGUAUGUAUGUAUUUAAAUAAAUAUACCCGACCUGCUCCCUGGUCUCACCCAAGCUUUAAACCUAAAAUAAAACUUUUAGAAUAUAUACCUAACCAUAAACACCUUGUGUUCACCCCAAAAUUAUAUGAAGAUAUGAACAAACAACACAUUCAAAUAAUGUGGCAUACACUGACAAUGGCCACAGUUGACACCGGGUUUCUGAGAAAUUUUGACCAUUUUAACGGACAUCCGCCCACCCGCCCAGGCACAAGGCACAUUUUCCUUCUUAUCUGA